UGUUAAAAACGGGAUUAAAAGUAUAAAUAAAUAUUGAUAAAAACAAAGUUAAUUAUAAUAAAUACUGAUAAAAAGCAUGUAAACAUAAGUUUAAUUAAUAUGUACAUAUGUAUAUGUAAUGUAUAAAUGGUGUGGGGGCAGGACUUAGUCCUGUAGAGUGUGUUUGUCAGAUCCACUGAGCGACCAAUCAUUGGCCGGUCUGACCCUCCCCCAGUCUGUGCGCUGCUCAGACACCUGUGUGCCUUCAUGUGCCAGUCAGAUACGCCAGAGACACAGACGGUGAAAGAUCAGUUUACCCGUGUGGCGAAGAAGCUAGCUGGAUAGAAAGUCCUUUUUUCGGCAAGAAUAAUAAGAGUGAUACUGUAUUCCAGAGGCCGUGAGCCAACGUGAGCACUGUGAAGCCCCGUGUAGCAUUUGUUGCUUUGCAUGGUCAGGUUUUUUCCCUUUGCUUAUUUGGAUUGGAUUGGUUUUGAGGACCUGAGAAGAAUCGAGGAUCCCUUUUCCAGUACUGGAUGGCGAGCCCAGCCCAAAGAGCCGGAUGAACUGGUAGAUUGUAACCCGACUGGUUACAAACACACUGAGUGACUAUUGAACAUUGAAAGACUGAAAUUGACUUUAAAAAAGACACAAAAGACAAUAUAUCCUUGGGUCGACCAUUUGUGGGGUUUAUUUUAUUUUGUUUUCAAGAAGAGCGCUCUACUUUUGUUAAAUGUGCACAACUUUAAUAAUUGCUAAUAAAUGCAAUUGUGUUUUCUACA